AGUGAACGCUGGCGGUAGGCCUAACACAUGCAAGUCGAACGCAGCACAGAAGAGCUUGCUCUCUGGGUGGCGAGUGGCGGACGGGUGAGGAAUACAUCGGAAUCUACUUUUUCGUGGGGGAUAACGUAGGGAAACUUACGCUAAUACCGCAUACGACCUACGGGUGAAAGCAGGGGACCUUCGGGCCUUGCCCGAUUGAAUGAGCCAAUGUCGGAUUAGCUAGUUGGCGGGGUAAAGGCCCACCAAGGCGACGAUCCGUAUCUGGUCUGAGAGGAUGAUCAGCCACACUGGAACUGAGAAACGGUCCAGACUCCUACGGGAGGCAGCAGUGGGGAAUAUUGGACAAUGGGCGCAAGCCUGAUCCAGCCAUACCGCGUGGGUGAAGAAGGCCUUCGGGUUGUAAAGCCCUUUUGUUGGGAAAGAAAUCCAGCUGGCUAAUACCCGGUUGGGAUGACGGUACCCAAAGAAUAAGCACCGGCUAACUUCGUGCCAGCCGCCGCAGUAA
rnacentral:rRNA from 1 species